rnacentral:rRNA from 1 species
UACGUAGGGUGCGAGCGUUAAUCGGAAUUACUGGGCGUAAAGCGUGCGCAGGCGGUUGUGUAAGACAGAUGUGAAGUCCCCGGGCUCAACCUGGGAACUGCAUUUGUGACUGCACGGCUGGAGUGCGGCAGAGGGGGAUGGAAUUCCGCGUGUAGCAGUGAAAUGCGUAGAGAUGUGGAGGAAUACCGAUGGCGAAGGCAGCCCCCUGGGAUAACACUGACGCUCAUGCACGAAAGCGUGGGGAGCAAACAGG